UACGGGCACUACUACGCAUGACUGAAUCGACGCUGGAUUCGAUGACCGCGUUAUACCACAGGAAGACCGCAAAUAAAAUCUAUCUUAUUGGUUCGGUGCAAGAAAGAAGGAUUUUUUCAAGAGCUCUAGAAAGAAGUCAUCUUAUAUCUUUAGUUACAAGUGCAAUUUCCCCGGACAGAAGAACGGUAAGAUUCAGACAGUAUUCAGAACUCUGUGAGAUGUGUGGAAGACUGGUGCUGAAAACAUCAUAAUGAGGCGAGCCCAGUGUACUCACAUGUUGGUGCUGUUCCACUCCAUUUGCCGUGUGCGUUACACACACGAAUUGCUGAUCCAUACAACAUACAUCCAGGGUUGCAAGCAAACUUGACGCACGCUCCCACAUGGAAAU